rnacentral:rRNA from 1 species
CGCCAGACUCCUACGGGAGGCAGCAGUGAGGAAUAUUGGUCAAUGGUCGGGAGACUGAACCAGCCAAGCCGCGUGAGGGAUGAAGGUACAGAGUAUCGUAAACCUCUUUUGUCAGGGAACAAAGGCGGGGACGCGUCCCCGGAUGAGUGUACCUGAAGAAAAAGCAUCGGCUAACUCCGUGCCAGCAGCCGCGGUAAUACGUAGGAGGCAAGCGUUAUCCGGAAUGACUGGGCGUAAAGGGUGCGUAGGUGGUUUGACAAGUUGGUAGCGUAACUCCGGGGCUCAACCUCGGCACUACUACCAAAACUGCCAAACUUGAGUGCAGGAGGGGCAAAUGGAAUUCCUAGUGUAGCGGUGGAAUGCGUAGAUAUUAGGAGGAACACCAGUGGCGAAGGCGAUUUGCUGGACUGUAACUGACACUGAGGCACGAAAGCGUGGGGAGCAAACAGGAUUAGAUACCCCAGUACC